rnacentral:rRNA from 1 species
UCAGAUUGCAGGCUGCAACCCGCCUGCAUGAAGUCGGAAUUGCUAGUAAUCGCGGAUCAGCAUGCCGCGGUGAAUACGUUCCCGGGCCUUGUACACACCGCCCGUCACACCAUGGGAGCCGGUAAUACCCGAAGUCAGUAGUCCAACCUCGUGAGGACGCUGCCGAAGGUAGGAUUGGCGACUGGGGUGAAGUCGUAACAAGGUAUC